rnacentral:rRNA from 1 species
GACGAACGCUGGCGGCGUGCUUAACACAUGCAAGUCGAACGCUGAAGCUUGGUGCUUGCACUGGGUGGAUGAGUGGCGAACGGGUGAGUAAUAAGUGAGUAACCUGCCCUUGACUCUGGGAUAAGCCUGGGAAACUGGGUCUAAUACUGGAUACGACAUGUCACCGCAUGGUGGUGUGUGGAAAGGGUUUUACUGGUUUUGGAUGGGCUCACGGCCUAUCAGCUUGUUGGUGGGGUAAUGGCUCACCAAGGCGACGACGGGUAGCCGGCCUGAGAGGGUGACCGGCCACACUGGGACUGAGACACGGCCCAGACUCCUACGGGAGGCAGCAGUGGGGAAUAUUGCACAAUGGGCGGAGGCCUGAUGCAGCGACGCCGCGUGAGGGAUGACGGCCUUCGGGUUGUAAACCUCUUUCAGCACGGAAGAAGCGAAAGUGACGGUACGUGCAGAAGAAGCGCCGGCUAACUACGUG